GGGAUUAAGGUUAAAUAGGGAGGGCCGAACAAACUGCAAGUCGUACGCUUCUUUUUCCACCGGAGCUUGCUCCACCGGAAAAAGAAGAGUGGCGAACGGGUGAGUAACACGUGGGUAACCUGCCCAUCAGAAGGGGAUAACACUUGGAAACAGGUGCUAAUACCGUAUAACAAUCGAAACCGCAUGGUUUUGAUUUGAAAGGCGCUUUCGGGUGUCGCUGAUGGAUGGACCCGCGGUGCAUUAGCUAGUUGGUGAGGUAACGGCUCACCAAGGCCACGAUGCAUAGCCGACCUGAGAGGGUGAUCGGCCACAUUGGGACUGAGACACGGCCCAAACUCCUACGGGAGGCAGCAGUAGGGAAUCUUCGGCAAUGGACGAAAGUCUGACCGAGCAACGCCGCGUGAGUGAAGAAGGUUUUCGGAUCGUAAAACUCUGUUGUUAGAGAAGAACAAGGAUGAGAGUAACUGUUCAUCCCUUGACGGUAUCUAACCAGAAAGCCACGGCUAACUACGUGCCAGCAGCCGCGGUAAUACGUAGGUGGCAAGCGUUGUCCGGAUUUAUUGGGCGUAAAGCGAGCGCAGGCGGUUUCUUAAGUCUGAUGUGAAAGCCCCCGGCUCAACCGGGGAGGGUCAUUGGAAACUGGGAGACUUGAGUGCAGAAGAGGAGAGUGGAAUUCCAUGUGUAGCGGUGAAAUGCGUAGAUAUAUGGAGGAACACCAGUGGCGAAGGCGGCUCUCUGGUCUGUAACUGACGCUGAGGCUCGAAAGCGUGGGGAGCAAACAGGAUUAGAUACCCUGGUAGUCCACGCCGUAAACGAUGAGUGCUAAGUGUUGGAGGGUUUCCGCCCUUCAGUGCUGCAGCUAACGCAUUAAGCACUCCGCCUGGGGAGUA
rnacentral:rRNA from 1 species